AUGCCACCUCCCCUCCCGAUUCCACUUCCUCUGCCCCAGCUCUCACCGCUCAGGACAGCACUACGCCUGGAAUAGCCAGCUCAGCCGCCUUGGCUCCCGGCAUCCCUGAUGCCAGCGCAGCCUCUGCCCCCAGCACCGCAGCUCCCCCCAGAACCGCCUCAGCCGUCAGCGGACUGCCAUAUUGGGCCGUCAUCCUCAUCUGCUUGGCUGCUGCCUUUGUCCUCCUCGUGCUGCUCUUCCUCCUGUGGGUUAUCGCAAGAUGCCCGCUGAAAAAACGUACCCAACCAACCGCCUACUUUGUGCACAACAGACACAGGGCGACUGAGUCUGGCAUAGAGCUAGAGAGCUCAUGAGGGAACUGGAGACACAAGA